rnacentral:rRNA from 1 species
GACGAACGCUGGCGGCGUGCCUAAUACAUGCAAGUCGAACGCAGUGGGGCCGGGUGAGUAACACGUUGGUAACCUCCCAUCAGAGGGGAUAACACUUGGAAACAGGUGCUAAACCGAUACUGAUGGAUGGACCCGUGGUGCAUUAGCUAGUUGGUGAGGCAACGUCGCACAAAGGCCACGAGCCAUAGCCGACCUGAGAGGGGGAUCGGCCACACUGGGACUGAGACACGGCCCAGACUCCUACGGGAGGCAGCAGUAGGGAAUAUUCGGCAAUGGGCGAAAGUCUGACCGAGCAACGCCGCGUGAGUGAAGAAGGUUUUCGGAUCGUAAAGCUCUGUUGUUAGAGAGGCGUUAUCUAACCAGUAAGCCACGGCUAACUACGUGCCAGCAGCCGCGGUAAUUC